rnacentral:rRNA from 1 species
UCCAACUUGAGAGUUUGAUCCUGGCUCAGAGCGAACGCUGGCGGCAGGCUUAACACAUGCAAGUCGAGCGGGCGUAGCAAUACGUCAGCGGCAGACGGGUGAGUAACGCGUGGGAACGUACCUUUUGGUUCGGAACAACAC